rnacentral:misc_RNA from 1 species
GAUGAAGAACGUAGCGAAAUGCGAUAAGUAAUGUGAAUUGCAGAAUUCAGUGAAUCAUCGAAUCUUUGAACGCACCUUGCGCCCUUUGGCCAUUCCGAAGGGCAUGCCUGUUUGAGUAUCAUGAACACCUCAACUCUUUAUGGUUUUCCAUGAUGAGCUUGGACUCUGGGGGUUUUGCUGGCUCACAGUCGGCUCCUCUAAAAUAAAUCAGCUUACCAGUGUUUGGUGGGUAUCAUGGGUGUGAUAACUAUCUACGCUUGUGGUUUUUCCACCAGGUAACCUUCAGCAGUGGAGGUUCGCUGGAGCUCAUAGACGUCUCUCCUCAGUGAGGACAGCUCUUUGAAUGUUUGAUCUCAAAUCAGGUAGGACUACCCGCUGAACUUAAGCAUAUCAAUAAGCGGAGGA